rnacentral:tRNA from 1 species
GCCUGGGUGGCGGAAUUGGUAUACGCGCAGGACUUAAAAUCCUGUGUCCGUAAAAUCGGACGUGAGGGUUCGAGUCCCUCCCCAGGCA